ensembl:lncRNA
ACGCCAUCAGUGACUUGGAAGACAAUGAUCAUGCUUCCCAUGUGGAGCAUCAGAUGACAUGCACGUCCCUCAGUGAUCUCCCAGGAUCCCCUUCGGCCCACAGCAGUCAUCCCGCCUCGGAGCGCUGUCCAUGGGAGAUGGAGGUGCUCAUGGACCGAGAAGCCCAGGCCGCAAUGGUUGAGUCCGAUGGAAAUGCUUUAAGUGAGGAUGCGGCGAGAGAGACCGACCCUGUCAGGGAGCAAGCAGACGCUUCGAGAACUUUAGAGAAGGCAGAUAGUGGAGGCGGUUUGACGGAGAGUUACCAAUGCGUGGUUGUCACGGCACCCUUGAUGGACAGGCAGGAGAGGGAGGAUGCAGCAAGCUGUUCUAGAGAAGGUGGGGCGGAGGGCGUCCCAUCGCUGGCAGCCGCCCCAGCGCAGAGCCGCCUGUUUGAGAGUCAGGACCUGCAGACGGUGAUGGGCGGAUGUGAGCUGCCGGAUCAGCGCUCCACACUGGAAGGAUCUCAACUGAUCAUUAUUACAGGCCCAAGUUACGAGGCUCUGGCGUCUGAAGGCCUUCAGCUGAACGUGGGUGGCGGUGAUGUUGAGGAGGUCACAUGUACGCUGAUCGAGGAUGUGUCGUAUAAUCAGAUGUGUCAGUCACGUCCCAGCGCCGAUCUGGCUGAGAAGCAGUUCUUGGAUCCCAGUGAAGAAACGCACUGUUCCAAAGAGCUUCAGCAGUCUCUCAGUAGGUGUAAGCGGAGCCGGCGGGGUCCAGUAAUCGAGGCAGACGGCAUGCUGAAGAUGUUUCACUGUCCGUAUGAAGGCUGCAGGCAGGUGUAUGUGGCCAUUAGCAGUUUCCAGGUGAGCUCGUGUGCAGUGAAUGCCGGAGAAUCCCUCAGAGCACCAACCAAUGCCACAGUACAACACUUAAAAAUAGAAGCUGGAAAAUUAGACACUGGGAAACACAUUGAUGUAACCUGACCAGGUGCUUUGUCUGGUUUAUUUAUCAAGUCAAAGGAAACGUUCUAAUGGCUCUUAAUUGCUUGGUGCACCUUAGUAACAGGAAGUAAAAUCUCCCUACAUGUAGGAUGGGUUAAAUAUUGUAAACAUUGGAAUGUAAAUCUGCUAAAUAUUUAUAGAGUUGGUUAAUUUUUGCUUAUCAGAUUAAUCGCAUUGAUAACGCUGCCCUGCAUCAUGUUGAACCAAAUCAAAUACUUGUUUCUUAUUAAUUUUGAGGUGUUGAUUGCCAAACAAUAGUGCCUGUUUUGCUUGAGCACAUCACACUUUCUCACAAAAUAUGAUGCAUUUCGUAGCAUUUUUGCUUUAGACAAUCAUUUGUACAGUGAAGAGGUCAUGUUUUAUUCUGAGGACAUUGUUUUAUGCCUAAUCCUGAUUUCAAGGUAAGAAUUAUGGACAGUGACUGAAGAAAAUGCAAACAUGAGCUAGAUAUUUUCUGCUACAUCUGUGAGUUUUUCUACAUUCAAACAGUGAUAGAAAAUUACAGAUUUGACACUAAAUGGAAUUAAACAUUUAAAUGAUAAAUAUAUACACUACACUAUAUAUACACUUUGAUACUAAAUUGAAU